UACGUAGGGCGCAAGCGUUGUCCGGAAUUAUUGGGCGUAAAGAGCUCGUAGGCGGCUUGUCACGUCGGGUGUGAAAGCCCGGGGCUUAACCCCGGGUCUGCAUCCGAUACGGGAAGGCUAGAGUGUGGUAGGGGAGAUCGGAAUUCCUGGUGUAGCGGUGAAAUGCGCAGAUAUCAGGAGGAACACCGGUGGCGAAGGCGGAUCUCUGGGCCAUUACUGACGCUGAGGAGCGAAAGCGUGGGGAGCGAACAGG
rnacentral:rRNA from 1 species